GGUCCCUUCCAACCCAAACCAUUUCAUGAUUCUAUGUUUAUGACUCUAUGAUUCUAUGAUUGGAGAAUCCCAUUGUUGGAUCUCCACUGCCAAAACAACUGGUGACCCAACUGCCAAGACAACUGGACAGAUUUUAAGCAUAAGCAAGUCCCUGGGUGGUGAAGGUAGAGAUGUGCACCCUGAAAAGGUCAGACAGCUGCUGAAACCUCCGUGUGCUCCCAGUUCUGACAAAAAUGAGGUGGAGGCAAAGACAACUCCGGAGCCAGCCUGAGGAGUAGGAGAGGAGUGUGCCAGUCAAAAGAGAGCAGGAACAGCAGAGGAUGAAAAGUGAGGAACAGGCUGAGAUCUAAUCUGACCCAACUCAUUGAUUCCCUCCCUGACCUUGGGUAAGCCUUUUGACCUGCCUGGGCCUCAGUCAACUCAGCUGGAAAAUUGGGUAAAGAGCGGAGCCUGUUAGAAAACCAUCUUCAAUUUGAACAAAGAUUUCCCGGAGACCCAAAAAAAAUUUGGGAAGGAGUUCAGGAAUGCAGAGUGCUAUUCAAAGCCAGGCUGACCUCAGAUACUGAGUGGCAUUUAUCUGGCAAGGUUUGG